CCGCCCCCUGUCCGGAUUGGACAGACUAUCGCUCCCCUUUGCCCUGAUUGGACAAGUGUCGGCCCGUCACCUGUCCAGUUUGGCCACACCCCUAAUUGUGGUGCUGGAAAAGCGCAGCGAGUCAGGCAGCCUCCGAGGGGCGGGAGAGUGGAUGCCCCGGGCUGGAGUUCCCCAUCAGGAAUAUCAGCACUACACUCUCGACUCCGAGCUCCAGCAUCUGCAGUCCUCACUUUCUCCACACCCUUAAUUGGCCAACAGUGCCCUGCCAAGUGAGGUGGUGAGGAUUGCAUUUGUAUAGCACCCUUCCCAGCCUGCACCAACCCCACUCACGUGAGAAACAGUGGCCAAUUUGCGAACCUACAAGCAACAAUGAGAUAAAAACUGAAAGAACUGCAGAUGAUGUAAAUCAGAGACGAAGACAGAAAUUGCUCUGUUUUGAACAACGGGUUCUGGCAGCAUCUGUGAAGAGAAAUCAGGAUGUGGAGGUGCCAGUGUUGGACCAGGGUGGACAAGGGUUACUGAAGAAAGGAGCAAGUUCGCCCGAGGCCCAACCCACAGGCGCCACAGACUCGAUUACUUACCAGGCCUUGGUCUCGGAGCUCACAAAGUCUCGCGAGUUGCUGGGGAAGCAGAUCAAGGACAAGCUGGCCCUGAUACCUGCUAUGCUGGGGGACCGUGGGAAAAGGUCGGAUGAGGUUGAACACAGAAUCACAGUAGUGGAAUGUGAGACUGACUCUUCUAAGGACUGGAUCCAGGCCUUGAAGAUGCUGUUGCAUAAUUUUCUUAAUCAGGUUGAUGAUCUUGAGAACAGAGCAGGAGGAAAGUCUUUUGUAUUGUUAGUCUGCCAGAGGGGGAGGAAGGUGAGCAACCAAUGGAAUUUCUUGAGGAUUGGCUGCUGAAAUUCCUUAACUUGGAGGCUGGCAUGGCAAGGCUGAAGAUUGAAAGAGCUUGCUAGUUCGCGGUACAGAAGCCAGGUCUGGACCAACGCCCUUGCCGUAUCCUGAUGUGGUUCCACAAUUAUAGAGACAAAUGGAGAAUAUGGAAGCUUCCAGAAUCCAGGGGAAAGAUCUAAAGGCUUUAGCUUAUGAAGGCUCCAGGAUCAUGUAUUUUCAGGACUUCUCCACGGCAAUGAUCCGGAAAAGGAAAUCUUAUGAUGGCAUCAAAAAAAGAUUGAGGGAGCUCGGGAUCCAGUACUCUCUAAGGUCCCCGGCAGUGCUUUGGAUUACCUUUAAUGGAUCUGUAUACUUCUUUCACUCAUCAGAGAAAAUGCUGCCUGACAGGCUGUGCUUUCUCAGCAACACACUCUCGACUGAAAUCUGUUGCUAAGCAUUGUAGAAGCCCGAUUAUUAUAAAUCUGGUCAAAGCAUGGAGGAUGAUGUGGCAGGGCGAGGGCAACCUGCAUAAGACCUCACCGUUUACCCCCUGAGUUGGAGCCCCAGGAUUCAGGCCGGGUUCAAUGGAUUCCAACUUUAAAGCAUGGGAGUCAAGGGAGUCUCCUGUUUGGCAGACCUACUUGAGGGAGAGGUCCUGAUGUCUUUUGACCAACUAAGUCAAAAAUAUGGGUUACCCAAUAGGGACCUCAGAGAAGGACCACGCUUUUAGGUCAGCUACAAGUCCAACAUGGAGAGAAGAGCGCUCCAGUGAGUAGGCAUUCUCACGGUCAGUACUCUAUACCAUUUACAGAGAGGGGGCACCUUGGAAAGUAUGGAAAGACUCUGUAGAGUCUGGAGUCAGGAACUAGAGGUAGAAAUUUUAUCUGAAACAUGGGAGACCUAUGGAAGAAUGUGAAAAAAAUCUCAAUAUGCAGUAAAGCACAGGCUAUGCAAUUGAAGCCCCAGAGCGAUUAGCAAAAUUCAAGAAAGGAGCAUCUCCAGGGUGCCCUAAAUGUAAAACAAGCACCAGCACUCUUACACAUUGUCUGUGGUCAUGUCGUAUGUUCUGUACGUGCUGGGGUACUAUAGCGAAUGAGGUGGAUGAGAUCCUGGGAAUUGAAGUUAGGGCAGAUCCGGUAUCCCUUCUUUUGGGACUGCCGAAUCUGCCUUCACAAGAUGAACACAGGAAGAGAAUAUUUGAUAUUCUCACAUAUUGUGCAAGGAAGAACAUUUUAAUGAGCUGGACCUCAGAAACCUUCCCCGGUCUCAUGGGGUGGUGCAGAUUAGCACAUCCCUCUGGAUUUCCUUCCGAAUGUGGUGCACCGGAAAACAGGUAUUCCAUCAGAUGUGGUGGCUCUUCUUAAAUUAUAUAGGCACAGACUUGUCAGCCAUUUAACCAGAGCCUUUAUAUAGCUUGAAGGCCGGAUUCGGUGGUCCCGGGGCCUUGGGGGAGGAAGCUUGAAUAAGUACAGGUAUAAUAACUAAUCCUUCCAUGGUUGGGCGUCUUUGUGGGGAUGCAUUGGGUGGUGUAAUUUAAUUUAGCUUAAUUUAAGUUGAUUUUAUCUAAUUUGACCUCCUCUAAGUUAAGUUAGGUUAGUCUAGUAUAAUUUAAGCUUAUUUAAACUAAUUUGCUGAGCUCAAUUAUUUAUUGAAUUGUAACAUGGAGAGAUUGUUCCGUAGAGGAGAAAGUGAGGUCUGCAGAUGCUG